rnacentral:rRNA from 1 species
GACGAACGCUGGCGGCGUGCUUAACACAUGCAAGUCGAACGAUGAACCCGGAGCUUGCUCUGAGGGAUUAGUGGCGAACGGGUGAGUAACACGUGAGUAACCUGCCCUGGACUCUGGGAUAAGCGUUGGAAACGACGUCUAAUACCGGAUAGGACCUUGGAUCGCAUGAUCUGGGGUGGAAAGUUUUUUCGGUCUGGGAUGGACUCGCGGCCUAUCAGCUUGUUGGUGAGGUAAUGGCUCACCAAGGCGUCGACGGGUAGCCGGCCUGAGAGGGUGACCGGCCACACUGGGACGGAGACACGGCCCAGACUCCUACGGGAGGCAGCAGUGGGAAGAUUGCACAAUGGGCGAAAGCCUGAUGCAGCAACGCCGCGUGCGGGAUGACGGCCUUCGGGUUGUAAACCGCUUUUAGUAGGGAAGAAGGGCUUCGGCUUGACGGUACCUGCAGAAAAAGGACCGGCUAACUACGUG